AUUGAACGCUGGCGGAAUGCUUUACACAUGCAAGUCGAACGGCAGCACGGGGGCAACCCUGGUGGCGAGUGGCGAACGGGUGAGUAAUGUAUCGGAACGUGCCCAGUCGUGGGGGAUAACGUAGUGAAAAUUACGCUAAUACCGCAUACGAUCUAUGGAUGAAAGCGGGGGAUCGCAAGACCUCGCGCGAUUGGAGCGGCCGAUAUCAGAUUAGGUAGUUGGUGGGGUAAAGGCUCACCAAGCCGACGAUCUGUAGCUGGUCUGAGAGGACGACCAGCCACACUGGAACUGAGACACGGUCCAGACUCCUACAGGAGGCAGCAGUGGGGAAUUUUGGACAAUGGGCGAAAGCCUGAUCCAGCCAUUCCGCGUGCAGGAUGAAGGCCUUCGGGUUGUAAACUGCUUUUGUACGGAACGAAACGGCGAGCUCUAAUACAGUUUGCUAAUGACGGUACCGUAAGAAUAAGCACCGGCUAACUACGUGCCAGCAGCCGCGGUAA
rnacentral:rRNA from 1 species